GACGAACCGUGCGAACGUUAUUCGGAAUCACUGGGCUUAAAGCGCGUGUAGGCGGGCCGGCACGUCGGCCGCUGAAAUCCCCCGGCUCAACCGGGGAACGGGCGCCGAUACGACCGGCCUGGAGGGACGUAGGGGGACCUGGAACUUCCGGUGGAGCGGUGAAAUGCGUUGAGAUCGGAAGGAACGCCCGUGGCGAAAGCGAGGUCCUGGACGUCUGCUGACGCUGAGACGCGAAAGCCAGGGGAGCGAACGGG
rnacentral:rRNA from 1 species